rnacentral:rRNA from 1 species
UACGUAGGGGGCAAGCGUUGUCCGGAAUCAUUGGGCGUAAAGAGCGUGUAGGCGGCUCGAUAAGUCUGCUGUGAAAGUCCGGGGCUCAACCCUGGAAGGCCGGUGGAAACUGUCGGGCUAGAGUCCGGAAGAGGCGAGUGGAAUUCCCGGUGUAGCGGGUGAAAUGCGCAGAUAUCGGGAGGAACACCAAUGGCGAAGGCAGCUCGCUGGGACGGUACUGACGCUGAGACGCGAAAGCGUGAGGAGCGAACAGG